rnacentral:rRNA from 1 species
GACGAACGCUGGCGGCGUGCUUAACACAUGCAAGUCGAACGAUGACGACCGAGCUUGCUCGGUCUGAUUAGUGGCGAACGGGUGAGUAACACGUGAGCAACCUGCCCUUCACUCUGGGAUAACCUCGGGAAAUCGGGGCUAAUACCGGAUAUGAGCUCCUGUCGCAUGGCGGGUGUUGGAAAGUUUUUCGGUGAAGGAUGGGCUCGCGGCCUAUCAGUUUGUUGGUGAGGUAGUGGCUCACCAAGGCGAUGACGGGUAGCCGGCCUGAGAGGGCGACCGGCCACCCUGGGACUGAGACACGGCCCAGACUCCUACGGGAGGCAGCAGUGGGGAAUAUUGCACAAUGGGCGCCAGCCUGAUGCAGCGACGCCGCGUGAUGGAUGACGGCCUUCGGGUUGUAAACCUCUUUCAGCAGGGAAGAAGGGAAAGUGACGGUACCUGAAGAAGAAGCGCCGGCUAACUACGUG